UCCGCACGGUUUUCCGGGAUUCACUGGGCGUAAGCGUGUGCAGGCGGUUCGGUAAGUUGGGCGUGAAAUCUCCCGGCUUAACUGGGAUAGGUCGUUCAAUACUACCGGACUAGAGAGCAGUAGAGGAAGAUGGAAUUCCCGGUGUAGUGGUGAAAUGCGUAGAUAUCGGGAGGAACACCAGUGGCGAAGGCGAUCUUCUGGACUGCGUCUGACGCUCAUACACGAAAGCUAGGGUAGUAAACGGGAUUAGAGACCCCGGUAAUCCUAGCUGUAAACGAUGUGAACUUGGCGUUGGUGGCUUAAACACCAUCAGUGCCGAAGCAAACGCGAUAAGUUCACCGCCUGGGGACUACGAUCGCAAGAUUAAAACUCAAAGGAAUUGACGGGGGCCCGCACAAGCAGCGGAGCGUGUGGUUUAAUUCGAUGCUACACGAAGAACCUUACCUGGGCUUGACAUGCAAGUGGUAGGGAUCCGAAAGGUGACCGACCCGCAAGGGAGCUUGCACAGGUGGUGCAUGGUUGUCGUCAGCUCGUGUCGUGAGAUGUUGGGUUAAGUCCCGCAACGAGCGCAACCCUUGUCCUUAGUUGCCAGCAUUUAGUUGGGCACUCUAGGGAGACUGCCGGUGACAAACCGGAGGAAGGUGGGGAUGACGUCAAAUCAUCAUGCCCCUUAUGACCUGGGCUACACACGUGCUACAAUGGAUGGUACAAAGAGUCGCAAACCCGCGAGGGCUAGCUAAUCUCAUAAAGCCAUUCUCAGUUCGGAUUGUAGGCUGCAACUCGCCUACAUGAAGCCGGAAUCGCUAGUAAUCGCAGAUCAGCACGCUGCGGUGAAUACGUUCCCGGGCCUUGUACACACCGCCCGUCACACCAUGGGAGUUGGCUUUACCUGAAGACGGUGCGCUAACCGCAAGGAAGCAGCCGGCCACGGUAGGGUCAGCGACUGGGGUGAAGUCGUAACAAGGUAAC
rnacentral:rRNA from 1 species